rnacentral:pre_miRNA from 4 species
UCUAAUGUAUGACCAAAGAAAGUGGUUUCUUGAGAUACAAUCUACUCCUGGUGAAGAUGCUGGGAA